rnacentral:ncRNA from 20 species
GAAAAAUAAAUUUUUUAAGGUUUGCAUAUCUGCGAUUAAAAGGGAAGAUAAGUGAAAAGCUUACACGGUCCCGCCACUGUGAAGAUGACGAAAACAGAUUAACCACUGAAAUAUUUCGGGAAGGGCUGUUAGUAGAAUGAGUCUGAGUCAGGAGACCUGCCUUAAAAAUUUUUACUAUC